UUUCAUUUAGGUUGUAACACUUUUUGGUAGACAACGUUUUCGCGUAAAUGAAUAAUGACGAUGGUUUGCCUACUCGUGAGCAAGCUACAUACAAUUGUCCAUGAGAAAAAAUUAUUAAUUGUCAUAGCGAAGGCAAGGCGAAUGGGAACUGCAAACGUUUGAAAUCGAAUGGUAAAUCCGUUGGAAUCAGUGGAAUUCUGGGUAUCAAAACAUCUUCUCCUUUGUACUUCCUUUUCAAAAUUGUUGCUUCGAUAACGUUACCCAUUCGCUUCUUCACAGCGAGUCUGGUACCGUUUCAAAGUCGUGGCACAUUAAUGUUGCGCAGCAUAUAAUCGUUGCAUAUAAUCACCAGCUAAAAGUGCUCUUUCGCUGAGCCAAUCAUGGUUUUUGUAGUGUUGAACUAUGUUUGGAAAUACACUCUGUAUCAAUGUAAUAUCGUAAUUAUUCCUGUUGGAUCGACAGACAUUUGGCCAUUUCCGAUUUUCACCCUUUUUGGGAGAAUAUAAAUAAGUUUUAAAAUUAUGCCAAAGACAUACAAAAUAAUAAUCAUAACCUAUUGUAUACAUAUAUCAAAAGAAAAAUAAGUUUUAAACUCCUAGAUAAAUACAAAUGUAUGUUAGGAUAAUGCUAAAUAAUCUAAUUUUAUCAUAACUUUGUAAACUCCUAUGUUAAAAUGA